GCCUUCAGGGGCCUGGGUUCUCAUCCCUGAGGAAAAUGGAUUUACCUAGUUCAUGAUGUGCCCACCUCAACCGUGGUGGGGGAACUCAACACCCAAGACCCUGAUGAGAAUCAAGUGCUGUCCUGAGAACUCUGGGUGUCUAGAAUGUUCUGUCAGUCAUUUUCAAUUAAGCUGGCCUUGGGGCAGGCUUGGCCCAGGAGGGUGUUUGUGCUCUGAACCUCAGAAGCAGGAAACCUGCUCUCCCGUGGUCACUGUGGGACCCUCCCGCCAAGUCAGGGAGGGUAGUUUGGCCAUGAGGAGGUUAGGUGGGUUUGAAGGAGAAUCUUGACCCUGGGGGAACUUUUCGAGAAAGGAAUCAGUGUUCUUGGAAAGUUGGUAACAGUGAGGGGCAGCCUCUGGUCUGUGGAAGUCGGUGAGAAUAACCAGCACGUGUUGGGUUCCUGAUGUUGCCUUUUCUUGUUGUUGAAACGGCCCCGAUCCUCGGCCUCUAUGGUCCCGGCCCCAGGAGCCUGGAUUCUGAUUAGGUCCUGCAGACCUGAUGGAAGAAGAAAGUUUUUCACCCGGAAACACAGAAGCUGGCCUUGCCCCGUGAUUGGGCCCCGUGAGAAUGGCAUCUGUCUGGGAGACAGCAAGCUUCGGGGCUGAGGUGCUACGUGUGCUCCUCCUGUCUCUCAUCCCGCCUUCCACCCAGGCACCUGUGUCUGUCUGAGCCCAGGCCCUCCCUGCCGCCCCAGAUGGCCUUGAACUCUGGCUUCCCCAACGUGGUCUGCCUUGGGGAGCCCUUGGGGCCCAGUGCUGGACUCUCUGAACCUGGCCCUCCCCCACUGCGGUGGCAGGGAUUGGGGUCCUUUCUGGUUCUUCCUCCGGAGUGGAAAAGAGCAGGGUGUGUUUUCCUACCACCCGGCUCACCUGUGUGCAGGUGAGGCCUCCGUGGAUUUUCCUUACGGGCAGUGGUGGGAGCAGUGGCCUGAAGACCGAGCUGGGCUCCUGGGAAGGCUGUGGAGAGGAGGCCGACUCAACAUUGCCGGGACAGUUGACUUAUUCCUAGAGUCACACCCUCGAUUCUUGCAGAUGGCACCGUGACCCUGGCUGCCUCUCAGAUCUGAGACCGCUGAAGCCCCACGUCCUGCCGGUGGCCCUGUCCUGGCCGUGUCUCUCCGGACACCUCUGCCCACCCCUCGCAUUUCUGCUCCUGCCCUCCAGGUGCAGACUUUCGUCGGAGAGUGUGCAGAGGUUCCCUGCUUAAUGAAGGAGGGACAUUAGUACUUUUUCUCAUUAACUGAAAGAAAUCAGAAGAGCAGGGUGAGGGGUCCAGCCGAGCACCUUCCCGGGGACCCACACUCCUCAUCCCCGCAUCCAGCCCCCCAGAGCUUUGAACUGUGUCUGGGAGCACCUGUGAUUUAUUUCAUUUAUUUUGUGCAUCUGUUCGCAAGAGGUGUUCUAAGGUGUCAGAAAAGCCUAAGUAAGAGAGGUGAUUUUGGGGGUCUGGGGAUGCUCAGCCCUUUUCCCAUAGAAAUUAAUGGUAAUUUCUUCUUUGCUUUAUGCCAUUUUGGCUAACGAAUGUUUUCAUAGGAACGCUCUGUUUUUGGAUGGCACGGCAAAGCGGUAUCCCUUUGUGCGUUUGCCAUACAUGGUACAAGCGCCACGUGCUGCGGACUCAUGGGUGUCGUAUGUCCCGCGGUGCCGUGCGCCGCGCUGCCUCGCCUCUGGGUCGCUCCUCCAGAUUCUUAGGCUUCUAAACGGGUUGGCUGUCUCGCUCUGUCAGGAGCAGCUGCAGGUCCUUUCUGGAAACAGGGACUAGCGAUUACCCAGCACGUGAUGGUCAGAGCGCCUUGGUGGACCUGAGCCCUUCCCUUGAGCACGGUCUGAGGGAAGUCUGGUUGGUUUCCGAGGUGGCCUGGCUGCGUGGGCCGAUUAGAACAGGUCCCAUAGCUCCGGUGAGGCAGGCUGUGGUCUGAUCCCUUCUUUCGAUGCCAGAGCCAGGGGACUCUGCCCCCGGGAGUCACUGGUAGGUGCGUCCAUGCCCCUGAUUAAGGAAUCUGAUUUGUCCCUUUGCCCCUUAGUGAUCUGCUAACUGUACUUGGUCUUCAUGGGCCUGUGGUCGGCCGCUGGGGACUUUCUCUGCCCUUGCUUCUCCAUGUGGUUUCUCUCGAUGGAUUUUAGCUUUAGCUCUGCUGUUCUCAGGCUGGGGGAUCCCUCAUGACCAGGCCUUGAUGACCUGCCAACGUGCUAGGGCACAGGGCUCAAGAAGGGGAGGUUUCUCUAAUCUCCUGUCCCGCUGUGUGGUGGUUCCCCGGCUUGGGGAUGGACACCCGGACCCCUCCACCUGCGGCCUCCCCACAACGCAUUGCACGCACACGGCUGCGGCCUCAGUCACCCUCAAGCGCACACCACACACUCUCCACGUGUGAUUGCUCACGGUCUCCACACAUGUGCUCACACACUCGCCGCACACGUGCUCACCCGCGAGAGCCACUCACGGCAAACAUGUGCACACGUGGCCACACACCAGGGGAUGCCCCGGAGUUCCCGCACACACGGGCCACGCUGUCACACAUAUUCAUUUACCCUUUGGUGACAAACUGGCCCUGGACACAGGGCGUCCCCCAGCCUGCCCCACGGACAGCCUCUGCCACCCGGGUCCAGGUCAGCCCCGCCGUCCUCUCCUCCGUGGCCCAUGAUCCCAAGUGCCAGCUGUGUCUCAAGACAGUCGGGUAGUUUUCCGAGGAGACUGAUGGCCGCGUGCCCGAGACACCCGUGUCUUCCAGGUGAGGGAGAGGAGGAGAGAAGGACGGAGGAUGGCAGGGGACAGAAAGCAGGACGGCGGGCCGCCCGGGGCGAUGCGGACGGCAGGGCCUGAGGUUCCCUUGAGCAAAAUUAACACUUAGUCUCGUAUGUGGGCGAAUGCCCCCCACCCCUUCAGGCCUCCUCCAUUCAGUCAGAAGCAUUUAAUUUCUUAUUGCUUAGGGAAUAUUGCAAUUUCUAGACACAUAACUGCAUGGAAUCCGGCGAAAGUGUUAGUGUGUGUGUCUCUGUGUGUCUCUGAGUGUCUGCCCGUGUGCAUGUGUCUUGUGUCAGCAUUAUUUGGGAGAUUCUAGAGUGCCGGGAGCCUAAUGAAAAGGUCCUUGUAGAACACUCUGGGAUAUUUCUGGGUUCUGGAGCCGUGUGGAAAGUUUACCCCUUUCUUGAGGCUAAUGCUUCACUGUUCUGACUUGGUCUGUGAUGAUCUGGAAUUGGUCAUGGGGCCUCGGAGAUGGUUGAGGGCCACUGUUAUACCCUUUCCCUCUCCCCGCCUCUCCCCGCAUCUCCGAGGAGUCUGGGGGCUCCUUUGGGAGCCCCUGUCGAGCGAGGGGGUGAGUCAUGCUGAAGACUUGGCCUGGAGAGGAGACGAGGGCCAGUCCCUGGGGAGGAGGCCGGAGCAGGUCUGCGAGCGGGGCGUGGAUCCAGGCUUCGGGCCACCGCCCCCUGCAUGGGGGACCGUUCACGGAGCCAGGCUGGGCUCUGGGGUGAAGUGGGGAGGAGUGGUAAGUGGGUAAGUGGGUGUCGGGCGGCAUCCGCACUGCCAGGCUGCUGUCUACACCACAGCACAGGGCCAGAGGGAGCCUCUCCCAGGGAAGCUCCAGCCCAGAAGCAGCGUAGGGAGAGGCUGUGGGAUCAGCGGGGCCCCUCCAUCCCGGGCCUUGAGCUGCUGCCGGCUACCGCGGGCUGGAGAAAAGGAGACUUGGAAACCGCUUUUCCUGCAAAGGAUGAGAAUUAACCUCUAGUCCCCUUGAAUGGCCUGCUGGCCGAAUGACCGGUCCGGAGCGGAUACGGGUGAGGAGAGAAGGAGUGCAUGCAGGGGGACAUUUCAGAUGUGGGCGGUGAACUUUUCUCAGAUAGGACCACGCUUCACCCACCCAAGUCUGUAAUCCAGCGGGAGCAUGGAGGGCACGGUGUCCCAGACGGUGGGCUGCUGGCCCCAUUGCAAGGGACUCUGGUGACCGGUCCUGGAGCUGCCGGUGGGGGUCCCUCAAGUGUGACCGGUGGGCAGAGCAGGGACUCUUUUGCAGUCCCGGCCGUCUGAUGACAGCUGACGACUCCAUGACCCUCACCCUUCGUGCUUUCCGCUCGUUCUUACAUCCGUCCCCGCACGCCCUUCCCAGGCAAACACAUUUGUUACGAAGAGAAAAAAACAAACGACUUGUUAUUUACUAUUUAAUGUUUUAUCUUUUAUAUGCAAAAACUCAGGGUGCAUAUGGACAUGAAUCAUUUGAAUGAAGAGAAACAUUAAUUUUUAUUAAGGUAUGGGCCGCGGGGCAACGUUAUUGGAUUGGAUUCUCAUUUUAUUUUUUUAUUGUGGUGUUGUUUUUAUGAUAAGAUAACAUCAUGAAAAUUAAAGACUUAUGUUUAUGGAGGGUUUUUUCAAGGGUCUUCACUGGAUGGAGAAACAGUCUUCGUCAGGUACAGCUGUGCAGAGAGGAAGCAGCCCACGUUAGCGCUGGGACUAAAUGACAUCUUUUGAAACCUUAAAAAGGGAGAAAAGCCAGCAUGAGAAGUCUCAAUGUUUUUGGCGGGUAGACCCACUUUUACCUCAUCUCAAGGCUUGUUCGUGGGGCAGUGGCCUCAUGUAGUAGUAGUCUGUGAACUACCGUGGCGUCCCAGGCCUCGUGACCCUUCUGACCGCCUGGCUCAGCUGAGGUAUUCUUCUGUGAGGGAAAGGAAGUGAAGCGCGUUUCGGGAAGAACCACGGGCUCUCCGCCCUGCUGCAGAGGCGGUGCUGGCCCAGCUUGGCGCCCCACUCCGUCGGGCCUCGUCCAAGCUCCCUGUCAGGGCCUCAGCCCUCGUGGGGGCUGCCCAGUGAGCACAGCCUCCCAGACACGUGUCCUCGGAGCUGACGGAAACAGAAGCGUGGACACAUUCUGUGCGUGGCAGGACCCGGCUCCUGAAGUCGUAUCCACUUCGUUAGUUAUUGAGAAGGAAACGGAAAUUUAUUAUCUCCUCCCAAUGCGCAGCCACGGCCGUUUUUGGUCAAGUGUGCCAUGACCUGGGGCCCAGCUUUCCCGGGGCUGGGGUGGCAGGGCGGGUGGAAGCGGGCACUGAGGCGGGAAGGAGGAAGGCACGGAGAUUGCUCUCCCUUCUCAAGGUGGUGCCUCAAUCGGGAUUCCCUGUGGGCUGGAACCGGCGCUUCAACGGGUAGGAGCCAACUUUACGGACGGAUGGACGUGUGUGUGUGUUGGUGCUUGCACACGCGUGUGAGACACAUAGCCUGUGGCUUCCUCCUCUAAGGACUUUUGAUCUCCUCUUACAACGGGGACAGACACCGAUGGCUCAAUGAGGAGAUUCAAAACACAGAGGUGAUACAUGAUGGUUUACGACUCUGCGAGCACUGCUGCAACUGAGAGCUACAGACGCCGGCCUUAAGCACAAAGGAGGACUGUCUCACCCUUCUGGAAGGCUGGAGUUCCACGAUCAAGGUGUCACCAGGGCUGGUCUCUCCUGUGGCCUCUCUCCUUGUCGUGUGGACAGCCACCUUCUCUCUGUGUCCUCACGUGGCCUGUGCGAGUCUGCGUCCUGACCUCCUUACUGGCCUGGGUGAUGAACCAUCAGCCAAGGUUGGAUUUUUACUGGGCCUUUAGAGCCCUGUGCCUAUUUUGGACACCUGCACAAGGUGAAGAGGGACCAGGGGUCUUCUAACUGGCUAUCUGUCUGCCGCAGGGCCUCCGUGUGGCUGGGAAAUUUGCGCAUCGCAACACCUGCCCAGCUGAGAGGACAACCCUGGACUCGCUGUCCCAUGUGCAGAGGGAUUUAGUAGAAAGUGUUUCGUCACGAAGAUGAAGUUGGGGAUGUUUGUGAACCCCUCCAUUCGAGUUCCGUGAGUUAUAACCUUGGACCUGACAUCAGGUAUGGGUGUCUGGUCCUCAGCUAUGGAGAGAAAUAUUGGAAAAUUGCACUUCUCAAUUUCUCUGAAUCUGUGUACUUUACAAAAUGAAAAACCAGUAACUUGGGAACACGUGAAAAAAUGUUCCUCUUCACCGAUUCAUAAAUGUCAAUCAGAUCGAGAUGCCCUUUCUUUACCAAUUAUACCGGCCAGGGUGAGCCAGUUUGGCCAGCCAUCUGCAGGAUUGAUAGGGUUGUGGAGAAAUAGGGUUCUUGAACAGUCAUGAGGUGGUGCCCAGACUUGUGUAAAUUGAUCCAGAUUUCAUUUUAUUUGAAUAAAUAUCAACAUCACAAGUGCA